rnacentral:lncRNA from 1 species
GUGAACGUCAGCCUGCAUACAACAUGGUGGUGCCACCAUCUACUUCAGGGCUGGGCAUGUAGCUAGGUGGUAAAGCACUUGCCUUCUGUACAUUCAACACUGGGAAAAAAAAUCACACCAUCCAAUGACAGCAUAAUGGUCCAAGCUUGUAUAAGAACACUGCAACAUUCGUGAACCAUUGUAGCUGAGUAGCCAUUCACUCCUUAGACUAUAUUCCCACCAUUCGUGCAUGACUACAUAAGGACAACAAACGGGAGACUCCUCAAAACACAUCCAGCAGAAAAGACAAGGCACACACAAACAUGAAAGGCGAGCUUUGAAGGAAGUGCUUACUAAUGGACAAUACUUCUCACCAGUCCUGUCUACUGUGGUUGCACCUCAUUCCUCACAGACUCCAGCUGGGCUGCCAAGGGCUGGGCUCCACAGUCAGAUAACUGCACUGGUCCUCAGGAUGUUCACUGAGUCCCUGCCAGCCUGACGCCAGGCGCUGGGGAGUCUGG